GACGAACGCUGGCGGCGUGCCUAAUACAUGCAAGUCGAACGCUGAAGGAAGGAGCUUGCUCUUUCUGGAUGAGUUGCGAACGGGUGAGUAACGCGUAGGUAACCUGCCUGGUAGCGGGGGAUAACUAUUGGAAACGAUAGCUAAUACCGCAUAAAAUUGAUUAUUGCAUGAUAGUCAAUUAAAAGGUGCAACUGCACCACUACCAGAUGGACCUGCGUUGUAUUAGCUAGUUGGUGGGGUAACGGCUCACCAAGGCGACGAUACAUAGCCGACCUGAGAGGGUGAUCGGCCACACUGGGACUGAGACACGGCCCAGACUCCUACGGGAGGCAGCAGUAGGGAAUCUUCGGCAAUGGACGGAAGUCUGACCGAGCAACGCCGCGUGAGUGAAGAAGGUUUUCGGAUCGUAAAGCUCUGUUGUAAGAGAAGAAAGAGUGUGAGAGUGGAAAGUUCACACUGUGACGGUAUCUUACCAGAAAGGGACGGCUAACUACGUG
rnacentral:rRNA from 1 species